rnacentral:lncRNA from 1 species
CCCAGAUCUAUCCCCCCUGUAUAGAGGUCCUGUCCCAGCUCUAGCCCCCUGUAUAGAGGUCCUAUCCUAAUACAGAGGUCCUAUCCUAAUACAGAGGUCCUGUCCCAGCUCUAUCCCCCCUGUAUAGAGGUCCUAUCCUAAUACAGAGGUCCUAUCCCAAUACAGAGGUCCUAUCCUAAUACAGAGGUCCUGUCUCAGCUCUAUCCCCCCUGUAUAGAGGUCCUAUCCUAAUACAGAGGUCCUAUCCUAAUACAGAGGUCCUGUCCCAGCUCUAUCCCCCCUGUAUAGAGGUCCUAUCCUAAUACAGAGGUCCUAUCCUAAUACAGAGGUCCUGUCCCAGCUCUAGCUCCCUGUAUAGAG